rnacentral:rRNA from 1 species
GUGCACCAGGCGCGAAUCUUCCACAAUGGGGGAAACCCUGAUGGAGCGACGCCGCGUGCGGGAUGAAGGCCCUAUGGGUUGUAAACCGCUGUUCAGUGGAAAGAACAUCCUCCGGCUGAAUAGGUCGGAGGCCUGACGUUACCACUGCAGAAAGUCCCGGCAACUCCGUGCCAGCAGCCGCGGUAAUACGGGGGGGACGAGCGUUGUCCGGAAUCAUUGGGCGUAAAGGGCGCGUAGGCGGCGAGGAAGUCGAAUGUGAAAUCUUGCGGCUCAACUGCAAAACUGCGUUCGAAACUUCCUCGCUUGAGUAUGAGAGAGGUGUGCGGAAUUCCUGGUGUAGCGGUGGAAUGCGUAGAUAUCAGGAGGAACACCGGGUGG